AUGGGCUGGUUCUUUCUGAGAUCCCAAUCCACCAUGCUUGCACUUGCAGUCUUCCUGCUCCUGCUCGCACAAACCACAGUAGGAUGGUCCAAACCUGAUUCAUGGAGGACGCGUGAUCGAGGAGGAUGCAUCGCGAGGGAGAGGGAGGCCCUGCUGUCCAUCAAAGCCGGCAUCACAGCGGACCCGGAGCGCCUCCUCUCGUCGUGGCGAGGGAAAGACUGCUGUCACUGGGAGGGCGUCAGCUGCAGCAACAUGACCGGCCAUGUCAUUGAGCUUGACCUUCAUGCACGGUACAUCCGGUCUUCCCUGGAAGGUGAGAUCAGUUCUUCUCUGAAAACCCUGCAGCAUCUGCAACACCUCGACCUUGGUGGAAACUACCAUCUCACCGGGCCUCAAGGCGGCCUUCCAGACUUCGUAGGGUCUCUUAGUGACCUGCGGUACCUCAACCUUUCGGGCCUGAAUUUUUCUGGCAUGGUGCCCCAUCAGCUUGGCAACCUCUCGAGGUUGCGAUACCUUGAUCUGAGAUCUUAUGGUCUGCACUCAGAAGAUCUCACGUGGCUGUCACAGCUCUCUUUGCUCAAGCAUCUUGACAUGAGUUUUGCGAACCUCAGCGCCGUGAUAGGCUGGGCUGACACAGUGAACAUGCUGUCCUCUCUUGAGGUCCUCAGGCUAUCAACAUGUUCGCUUAUUACCACAAACCACUAUAUGCCUCGCUCGAAUCUCACCAGGCUCAAGAUCCUCGACCUCUUUCGGAACUCCAUUGAAAUGCAGUUUGACGCUAUUAGCUGGGUUUGGGAUGCAAGCAGCCUGAAAUAUCUCAACCUUGAGUCCAAUCAUAUAUAUGGCGUGUUUCCUGCACAACUGGGAAACUUGACCUCACUUGAAGUCCUUCAGCUGAGGGAGAACCAUAUAAAGGGAAUGAUACCAGACACACUGACCAGCCUUUGCAGCCUGAGAAUAUUUGAAUUGGCAUAUAAUGAUGUUCAAGGGGACGUGACGGAGUUCAUCGAGAGGUUACCAAAAUGUUCAUGGAGUCAGUUGCAGGAGCUGCAUCUGGGCCACAAUAACAUAACUGGCUCGUUGUCAGACUGGAUCGGCCACAUGACUAGCUUGAGCUCUCUUGAUCUCAGUUUCAACAGGCUUACAGGACCUCUGACCACUGUGAUAGGCACGCUUUCUAACCUGAUUUAUCUGAACAUAGGGUACAAUCAGAUGGAUGGUCUCAUCACUCAAGAGCACUUCUCCAAGCUUACAGAGUUGCAGGAGCUGCACUUAUCUGGAAAUUCCUUUACCAUGAAGCUGAACUCUGACUGGAUCCCUCCAAGGAGAUUGCUCACACUGGGAUUAAGAUCAUGCUAUCUUGGGCCGAGAUUUCCUCAGUGGCUCAAAUCACCAAAGAAUAUCUCCUCCCUUUAUAUGUCCAAUGCCAGCAUAGCUGAUACCAUGCCUGAUUGGUUUUGGACUGUGUUUAGAAAGGCUGACGUUUUGGACCUCUCAAACAAUAACAUCAGUGGCACAUUACGAGCUACUCUUGGACAGAUGGACACCAGUUUCUUAGAUCUAAGCUCGAAUCAGUUCAUUGGUCCGGUAGAACAGCUGCCUCAGAAUAUAAUGGGACUAGAUCUCUCAAGAAACUCCCUGUCAGGGGCUCUGCCAUUAAAUGUCAGAUGGCCAUUAUUCAUAGACAGUUUGCUUCUAUUUGACAACCAUUUCACGGGCACUAUCCCAGCAUCGUUAUGCCAAAUGAAGUCACUGACAUUGCUUGACAUUAGAAACAAUAUGAUAACAGGUCAGUUCCCUCGAUGUUCAGAAAAUGUGGCGUCAAGUUCAGGAAUGGUGCCACCUAACACAGCCUCUCCAGAUAGUGAUUCAAGCUCUGAGAUAUCACUGUCUAUGUCAAUUAAAACUCUGAGGCUCAACAACAAUAGCCUCUCGGGUGAAUUCCCUCUGUUAUUACAGAAUUGCCCAGAACUAACUUUUAUCGAUCUUGGGCAAAAUAAGUUUUUUGGAAGUAUACCACCUUGGAUUGGUGAGAAAUUACCACGGCUGAAAUAUCUGCGCCUCAGGUCCAACAUGUUUUCUGGCUGUAUACCUACCCAACUUAGAGGACUUCGAUAUCUCCAAUAUUUGGACCUAGCACACAACAACUUAUCAGGUACUAUACCUCGAUCCCUGCUAAACAUGGAUGGCGUGACCACAGAAUUAGCAGCUCGGGAUUACCCAUCCAGCACUUCCAGCGACAUGGCUACAGUAGAUGAUGGCAUUACUGUAGUAGAUGACCCCCAACAUCCUGGUGGUGGGUAUGAGUAUGCUAUGAUUGCUAGCAUAUUUGUAGUCACAAAAGGGCAAGGGCGCGAAUAUAUUGGUCGAUUCAUAGACAUGGUGAGUCUUGAUUUAUCCUGCAAUCAUUUAACUGGAAAUAUCCCCGAAAGCAUAGGUCCUGCAGCAGGUUUAGUGAAUAUGAAUCUGUCUUUGAACCACUUGACCGGAAAAAUCCCAGAGAACAUUAGCUCCAUGCACUCACUGGAAUCACUUGACCUCUCCAGCAACCAGCUCUCUGGCGAAAUCCCUCCGGGCCUAUCCGAUCUAACAUCACUAAGCUAUCUGAACUUGUCCUACAACAAAUUAUCAGGAAGGAUACCGUCGGGGCACCAGCUCGACACACUCAACCCUUCCGACCCCGCAUCCAUGUACAUUGGCAACCCUGGCCUCUGCGGGCCUCCUCUUAAGAAGAGCUGUCCGGGAGACCACACAGCAGAAAGCCACUUCACAGCGAGCAAAGAAGGAUCCGAGGCGAUGCCCUUCUGUUUCGGGCUAAGCGUGGGCUUCGUGGUUGGCCUCUGGGUGGUGUUCUGCUCCCUUCUCUUCAAGAAAACAUGGAGGGCCUCCUAUUUCCGGCUCUUUGAUGCGGUUUUUGAUAAAAUUUAUGUGCUUGUGGUUGUGAAUUGGGCGAGGAUGACGAGGAAGCAAACCACCACAGAUUGA
rnacentral:rRNA from 1 species